AGUGAACGCUGGCGGUAGGCCUAACACAUGCAAGUCGAACGGCAGCACAUUAAGAGCUUGCUCUUACGGGUGGCGAGUGGCGGACGGGUGAGGCAUACAUCGGCAUCUACUUUUUCGUGGGGGAUAACUUAGGGAAACUUACGCUAAUACCUCAUACCACCUACGGGUGAAUGCAGGUGUUCUUCAUACCUUGCCCUCUUUCAUGAGCCGAUGUCGGAUUAGCUAGUUGGCGGGGUAAAGGCCCACCAAGGCGACGAUCCGUAGCUGGUCUGAGAGGAUGAUCAGCAACACGGGAACUGAGAAACGGUCAAGACUCCUACGGGAGGCAGAAGUGGGGAAUAUUGGACAAAGGGCGCAAGCCUGAUCAAGACAUACCGCGUGGGUGAAGAAGGCUUUCGGGUUGUAAAGCCCUUUGGUAGGGAAAGAAAAGCAGCAGGUUAAUAACCCGAUGUUCUGACGGUACCCAAAGAAUAAGCAACGGCUAACUUCGUG
rnacentral:rRNA from 1 species